rnacentral:rRNA from 1 species
GACGAACGCUGGCGGCGUGCUUAACACAUGCAAGUCGAACGAUGAAGCUGGAGCUUGCUCCGGUGGAUUAGUGGCGAACGGGUGAGUAACACGUGAGCAAUCUGCCCUUCACUCUGGGAUAACUGCGGGAAACUGUAGCUAAUACCGGAUACGAGACCUUGGGGGCAUCCCAGGGUCUGGAAAGAAUUUCGGUGAAGGAUGAGCUCGCGGCCUAUCAGCUAGUUGGUGAGGUAAUGGCUCACCAAGGCGACGACGGGUAGCCGGCCUGAGAGGGUGACCGGGCCAACUGGGACUGGGACACGGCCCAGGCUCCUACGGGAGGCAGCAGUGGGGAAGAUUGCACAAUGGGCGAAAGGCUGAUGCAGCAACGCCGCGUGAGGGAUGAAGGCCUUCGGGUUGUAAACCUCUUUUAGUAGGGAAGAAGCGCAAGUGACGGUACCUACAGAAAAAGCACCGGCUAACUACGUGCCAGCCGCCGCGGUAA